UACAUUAGUGUAUGUUUUUAACUUAUGGACAGACUUACAGACAAGUGGAAAAAAAGUAAGUUCUCUUUACAAUCCAGAACUCUUUUUGCAAUAUGAGUCUUGAUUACAUAGGAAGGAACGUG